UCAAAUGCUCUUGAGUGUAGGUGAGAGUGAGAUGUUUUUCAUCAAAUGUUGAAGUCUUUUUCGCUAUAGACAGCACGAUAUUCACACAGAACAGGACUAUGGCAGCACAGUGUUCAGCAUUCAAAGGAAACGGCAGCCACCACAAGACGAUGUUCCUCAUUCUGGUCCGAGUGGGACUUGCGAAAAAGAAGGCUCCACACACAUCCGCCGGAUCCGCCGGAUCCGC